AUGUGUACAUUCUGAAAUGAUUAGAUCAAGCCAAUUAACAUAUCUACUAUCAAAGACCGCUCACCAGGAAUAGCUGAGUGAGAGGAAAGGGUAGGUCGGCCUCCCAAGAUUCAGGCAUGGGGAAACUAAGUAGGAUUUGUUAUCCCCAGAGUCAUCCCCAUGAUGGGCCAGUGAACUAAAGAUAAUCUCUAGGUGUGCCAGUGCCAGUCACCAAUUAAUAAAAUUGUCUUUGAGCUGUGGCUAGCAAACCCAGGUGCACAUUAGAAUUACUGGAGGGAGGGGGUGGUUUAAACAGAAUUCAAUGGGCUG
rnacentral:lncRNA from 10 species